GGAUAGGUGGCAGAGCGGUUGAAUGCGCUAGUCUCGAAAACUAGUAUACGCUUCGGCGUAUCGAGGGUUCGAAUCCCUCCCUGUCCG
rnacentral:tRNA from 3 species